UCCUGCAAUAAAUUAAACCUCCUUUAUGUGACGGGCUAACGGGAAAAAACCGAAUCUGAGGACUAAAUGUCAAUGCAGAAAUGGACAAAAACAUUAGAUUUAACUUAAAAAUACAUUUUGCGCAGGUCAGUUAUUAACGUUUCCCUAAUGUGUCAAUUGAGCAGCUGUUUUCAAGUUACUCUUAUUCCUCUCUUUCCCCGUUAAAAAUUGCAAAAGAAUGCUUGAAUAGAUCCACUCAACAAAACAAUAGGACCAGGACACUUAGAUGAAGCAAAAUAGCUGAACAAACUGAUUCAUACUUUCUAAGAACCAAAACAUUCGAUAACUGAAUUCAGAUCUUGACUAUUAAGCA